GACGAACGCUGGCGGCGUGCUUAACACAUGCGAGUCGAACGGAAAGGCCCUGCUUUUGUGGGGUGCUCGAGUGGCGAACGGGUGAGUAACACGUGAGUAACCUGCCCUUGACUUUGGGAUAACUUCAGGAAACUGGGGCUAAUACCGGAUAGGAGCUCCUGCUGCCUGGUGGGGGUUGGAAAGUUCCGGCGGUUGGGGAUGGACUCGCGGCUUAUCAGCUUGUUGGUGGGGUAGUGGCUUACCAAGGCUUUGACGGAUAGCCGGCCUGAGAGGGUGACCGGCCACAUUGGGACUGAGAUACGGCCCAGACGCCUACGGGAGGCAGCAGUGGAGAAUAUUGCACAAUGGGCGGAAGCCUGAUGCAGCAACGCCGCGUGCGGGAUGACGGCCUUCGGGUUGUAAACCGCUGUCGCCUGUGACGAAGCGUGAGUGACGGUAAUGGGUAAAGAAGCACCGGCUAACUACGUG
rnacentral:rRNA from 1 species